GUCUCGGGUACAUCCAAUAAAGUUGAAACGAUGCAGAGAAGAGAUUAGCAUGUUCUCUGCGCAAAAAUGACACGUACAAAUAGAAAAAAUAGAAGUCUCG